GAAAUGCGAUACGUAAUGCGAAUUGCAGAAUUCAGUGAAUCAUCGAAUCUUUGAACGCACAUUGCACUCUUAUCUUUGGUAAGAGUAUGCCUCUUUCAGUAUCGGUUUUAAUACAUCAAGUCCCUUCUCUUAUUGGGGUUAAGUUUAAUUACUUUUUCUCGAUUUGAUGCAUGUAAGGAUUUGGAUUCUGCGAGUUAGGCGCAAGUCUAUCUUGUUAAGUAUGAUUGGGAGGAAGUUUUUCCUUUUCACCCCUGAUGUGAUAGUUCGCCUUCGUGCGAUUUAUGAUCGUCAGACCAGGUAAAUUGGAAUACUUAUGACUUUCUUCACGAUGUCUUGCUGGCUGCCAUGCUAGUGACAAACCUUUUUAUAACAUUCGAUCUGAAAUGAAGCAAGAGUACCCGCUGAACUUAAGC
rnacentral:misc_RNA from 1 species